GAAAGACAAUAAACAGUGAUAAAUGCUUGUUUCCUUUCUAUGAAGACAAUAACUACUACAGUGGUUGGUUAAACUAGAUCAGCUACUUCAGUAUGGAUGAUGAGGGAAAACCUUGAAUGCAGAUUCCAAAUGUUUUCGAAUGGAAUAUGUCUGGGAUCGGACCUUGAAACCCGCAAGUCUAACAAACCUCCUUGGAUGCUUACCCAUCUGGUGGUCCCACACUUCACUUGGAGAAUUCCUGGUUCUGACUGGCUGUGAUCCCACCACCUCAAGACAUAACAGCCUGGAAUGUUGGCCAUCUCCAAGGCAAGGAUUAGAAUACAUGACCUGCUGGAUAUGGGAAAAGGCUUAUUGAAAAGCCUCUUGGAAUUGCCCCAGGUGAUGAGGCUGGUUGUAACCAUGACUAUUGGGGGGAGGUGCUGUUGGGGGAUAAUCUGACGUCUAGUUCCAGCUCUUCCAUAACUUGCAACUCAGCCUCUGCACGUUGGUCAGCAUUCCAACCUUCCAUGGGCACCCCUUUCCUGGUGGUGAAAUGGGGGUAAAAUUAUGCCUAACUUGCUUCUACCCUCUCAGCUUCUGUGAGGGGUCAAAUGAGACGUUAGUCAAAGUGCGGUGUAAAUUAUAGAGACUGAGACUGGUGCUUCAAAAGAGGUACCAAGGAAGGUAAUGAUCACAGGAAUCUCAAUGAAUUUGAGCAGGAUUCUUCAUAAUUGUAUUAUAUAUGCCCUUAAUCGGAAGGUAAAUUAUUGUACCUUGCCACUGGAAUGCACUAUUUUUUAUCAUACUUAACUGGUAUUUCCUGAAGAGGUUAUUCACACUAGACCUUCUCUGAACCUUGUUAAUAAGGGACAUUAUGGUCAUUGGUCAUUCUUUUCUAUGUGCCUAUAGUUGGAGUUGGAGGGUAGAGGCACCCCUAUGUAACUUGUGAGGGGACCAGGACUGUGUGCACAAGUAUCCCAUUCACACUACCCAGCCAUCAGUCUGAGCUGAACAAGCACCACCAGGCCUGCUGUUUGAAGGCUGGAGGGGCACUGGGAUCUGCAUGCACUGGGCCUGCUCUGCCCCAGAAAGGGGCUCCUAAACACCAGUGCAUCAUUUUGCAAAUGGGAGAACUGGGGCCAGAGACAAAAUAAAAAGACUACAUCUUAAACUAAGGCUGUUAGAGCUGGAAAAAGGAAUCUCAACGAUUACUCAAUUUCCUUGUUUUGCAGAUGAGGGCAGAGAGGUUCAGAGAAGUGAAGUUAUUUAAGCAAGGUCACACAGCUAGUUCAUGGCAGAACCAGGUCUCACACCUGAAUUUCUUGAUCCUACGUCCAGUAGCCUUUUCUACAUAAAAUGUUGGAAUUGGGAUUUGAAUUCAGGUUUUUAUUAUUUUAAUUUUAAUUUAAUUUAAUUUAAUUUAAAUUUAAUUUAAUUUAAUUUAAUUUUAGAGAGAGUGUGUGAGCAAGAGAGGGGCAGAAGGAGAAAGAGAAUCUUAAACAGGUUCCAUGCUGAGCGUGGAGCCUGUUAUGGGGCUUGAUCCAUGACCCUGGGACCAUGACCUGAGCUGAAAUCAAGAGUUGGACACUCAACUGACCAAGCCACCUAGAUGCCCCUGAAUUCAAGUUUUUAAAAAUUCCUGACCCAAUGUGGCAUUCUAUAUUCAGUUCUAAAUGUUAAUAAUGACCAAAAUUAGUAGUUACUUUUACUGAGUAGCAACUAUAUGCCAGGUUCUAUGAGAAAUACUUGACAUUCAUUAUCUCACUUAAUUCUCACAAUAACGCAAUGAGAUAGGUGUUAAUUCUGGCCACAAAUAAUUAUUGAGUCCCUACUAUGUGCCAGGCAUGCCAAGGCCAGGUAGCUGUUAUCUUCAAUCACAAAUGAAGGUGACUGAAGUUCAUCAAAGAAAAUAAGAAAGUUAGGUGGGUGUCUGGAGUCACAGGCAGCAGCUGAAUAUCAGAGUGACCUUUUUCAGGGCAGUGUAACUUCCCAGACCGUAUCCUUACCCCCAUACCACACUGUAAGGCCUGCCUCUCUUCCUUCCAUUGCAAAAUUCACAAGUAAUUAUGGAGAACCCAUCAAAUACAUAAGCCUAGGGAAGAUCCUAAAGAUAUGGAAUCUUGUUUGCCCCAAAAGUAAACUCUAAUGGGGGGGAGAGGGGCAAGUAAUUAAGCAAUAGUUCACCUCAGGCCAAAAAGGAGGUAAGACAAGAUUUGCUUUGGGCAGAAAGUGACAAGAAUCAAACUAACUUGUGUGGCACCCAGGGCUUCAGCACCCCAUGUGCUUAAAAACACAGAGACACACAGUGAGAAAAUCAAACUUAAAAAAUAAAAAUUAUGGGGGCACCUAGGUGGCUCAGUCAGUUAAGCAUCCGACUUCGGCUCAGGUCAUGAUCUCGCGGUCCGAGAGUUUGAGCCCCGCCUGUUUCAGAUUCUGUGUCUCCCUCUCUCUCUGACCCUCCCUCAUUCAUGCUGUCUCUCCCUGUCUCAAAAAUAAAUAAACGUUAAAAAAAUUUUUUUAAAUAAAUAAAUAUUAUAAAGUGGGCCCAAAUACCUAUUUGUAUUUAAUUAUGUGCUUGUUUGCUCCCAGUGCUGACAACUUCCUGAAGACAGAAGAGGCCACAUGAGGGACAGAUAGCCUAGAGACCUGAUUGAUAAGCUGCAGACCAUCUCUGGCUUUGCUGAAUGACUUUGGGCAGCCUCUUUGCCUUCCCGGGCUUCCAUUUCUCUCUCCACAAAAUGGGAAGCAUAAUACCUGCCUCUCUGGCUUAUCAAGGUGAAGAAAGGUACAGUUUCCAUGAAACUUCAUUCUUUUGGGGGAAGCAUUGGUAAAAGGUGGUGAGGUUCCUUGAGUUAUCUGUGUUAGGAUGAAAAAUUUUAAUACACAUAGAUGUACGGUUUUUCUCCUCUUUCAGUUUGAUUUUUCCAAAGGACCUUGUGUUUCUGGAAGAACUUGGGCUGUAUAACUUAUCUUCUGAUAUCAGGGGCUCCUGGGCAGGAGGCCUCUAAGCAGACAUGGAGGAGUGGGUGGGGUCAGCAAGGGAGGGGCCUUGGCCUGUACGAACA
rnacentral:lncRNA from 1 species